UACGUAGGGUGCGAGCGUUGUCCGGAAUUAUUGGGCGUAAAGAGCGUGUAGGCGGCUUUACAGGUCCGUUGUGAAAACUCGAGGCUCAACCUCGAGACGCCGGUGGAAACCGUAAAGCUAGAGUCCGGAAGAGGAGAGUGGAAUUCCUGGUGUAGCGGUGAAAUGCGCAGAUAUCAGGAAGAACACCCGUGGCGAAGGCGGCUCUCUGGGACGGUACUGACGCUGAGACGCGAAAGCGUGGGGAGCGAACAGG
rnacentral:rRNA from 1 species